rnacentral:rRNA from 1 species
AAUAGAUACCCGGGUAGUCCACGCCGUAAACGAUGAGUGCUAAGUGUUAGGGGGUUUCCGCCCCUUAGUGCUGCAGCUAACGCAUUAAGCACUCCGCCUGGGGAGUACGGUCGCAAGACUGAAACUCAAAGGAAUUGACGGGGGCCCGCACAAGCGGUGGAGCAUGUGGUUUAAUUCGAAGCAACGCGAAGAACCUUACCAGGUCUUGACAUCCCACUGACCGCUAUGGAGACAUAGUUUUCCCUUCGGGGACAGUGGCGACAGGUGGUGCAUGGUUGUCGUCAGCUCGUGUCGUGAGAUGUUGGGUUAAGUCCCGCAACGAGCGCAACCCUUGAUCUUAGUUGCCAUCAUUUAGUUGGGCACUCUAAGGUGACUGCCGGUGACAAACCGGAGGAAGGUGGGGAUGACGUCAAAUCAUCAUGCCCCUUAUGACCUGGGCUACACACGUGCUACAAUGGACGGUACAAACGGUUGCCAACCCGCGAGGGGAGCUAAUCCGAUAAAACCGUUCUCAGUUCGGAUUGUAGGCUGCAACUCGCCUAC